CAAUAAAACUAGCAAAAAACAAUUGCUACAAAUCUUUUGAUAAAGAGAUGAAAACUUGGUAAAUGUCUAGACAGAAAACUCUUUAAAAAAAAGACAUUGGCAUAGUGGUCUAAUUUCAUAUUCAGGAAGAGAAGCAAAACAAUAAAUGAAUAAAAAGUGAACACAAACCAGCUUUCAGAAGGAAUGAUGUAUGGGUAUAAGGAUUUAAAGACAUAUGGAUUUUUACUUAUAUUCUUUUUCCUCUUUUUAAUAGGAGUAACAAUAGCCUUUCUCUCCCAAUCUCCCAGCCUUUGGAAAUGGUGUUACUUAUACCUCUUCUGGUCAUAUUUUGCUACUUGAAAUGAUUGUGACAUAAUUGAACACCAUACUAAAGAUCAGUCUUCUCCUUACCUCCUGCAAAUCCCUUCAAGAAAAGGAACGGCAAUGCUCAAUUUUCUGUUACACAGAGCCAGAAAAAUAAUGUUCUUCAGCUUGCUGUACUUCCUAUCAGAUGUCAGCUAAUUUAGCAAGGGCAACAUCAGUGUGAGGAGGACAGAAGUGAACUCCAGAGAAGUGUAAUAAGGACCCAUACCUGGAGGAUGAAACAAGCAACACUCAACAUCUGGGACAGUACAUCCAAAUGUCACCCCUAAUCCUAGAAGUAUUUAAGAUGGAGAAAUAACAAGGUACUUUUCUGUUAUACAAUAUCAGCAAUUUUUGGUUUUGUCAAAAUGUCAUCUAUUUGGCAAAUGAAUUCCUGGAAAUCUGAAUUGAUAUGCCUAAUUUAAAAUAAAUAUUCAGCUUCCAACUGCUGAACAAUGUCCAGGUAUCAUUCAAUAGCUCACUUAACAACAUUACUAGGAUUUAACAA